CUUUCCCAGAGGAUGUGCUGAGUCCAGCAGAGCUGGGAGCCAAGGAUCCUUUUGUGGCUGAACUCUUGGAGCCCUUUAUUUCAGAAAAAGACAUGGAAGUCCUUGUACACCGUCCAGUAUCUCCGUACAGAACAGACACCCAAUCUGAAUACACAGAUUCACGUCAUCAGGUACUCCGGGUUCCAUCUACACUCCAGAGACAUAUCUGCUAUAGCUGUGAACAUCUACAGAAAUCACAAACAUGUGGUUCAUCCUAAACAUAGUCCACGAAUCGAAGCUCACUGCUUGGAAUUGCUGAACCAAACUACUGAAGACCUAAAUGAAUCCCUUCACCAAUAUGGUAAAAUUAUGGAUUUUCUGAGAUCGCUGCCUUGAGCACCAUUAAUGAGGUGUCACUUUUAACUUACGGCAAUGUGUUGAGGUCACCCUAUAAUAGACUCAUCUCUUCAACCUUUUACUAACCUCUGGAGUCUUCCCCUCUGGUUUGAAACAUGCUACCAUUACACCCAUCCUCAAAAAGCCUUUACUUGACCCAUCUUCUUUAUCCAGUAAUCACCCAAUAUCACUGUCACAAUCAUAUUGGGUGUUUGACCGUGAUGCGGUUGCUAGGGGCAACGUGUAGUUUGUGGAAUGCACGUGCACUUCCCCUUUAAGGUGUGCCAACCUGCUGUUUGG